rnacentral:rRNA from 1 species
GAUGAACGCUGGCGGCGUGACUAAUACAUGCAAGUCGAGCGAAUGGAUUAAGAGCUUGCUCUUAUGAAGUUAGAGGCGGACGGGUGAGUAACACGUGGGUAACCUGCCCAUAAGACUGCGAUAACUCCGGGACACCGGCGCUAAUACCGGACAACAGUUUGAACCGCACGGAUCGAAAUGAAAAGUCGGCUUCGUCUGACACUUAUGGAUGGACACGCGUCGCAUUAGCUAGUUGGUGAGGUAACGGCUCACCAAGGCAACGAUGCGUAGGCGAGCGGAGAGGGUGAGCGGGCACACUGGGACUGGGACGCGGCACAGACUCCUACGGGAGGCAGCAGUAGGGAAUCUUCCGCAAUGGACGAAAGUCUGACGGAGCAACGCCGCGUGAGUGAUGAAGGCUUUCGGGUCGUAAAACUCUGUUGUUAGGGAAGAACAAGUGCUAGUUGAAUAAGCUGGCACCUUGACGGUACCUAACCAGAAAAAGCACCGGCUAACUACGUGCCAGCCGCCGCGGUAA